rnacentral:rRNA from 1 species
UGGGGAAUAUUGGACAAUGGGCGCAAGCCUGAUCCAGCCAUGCCGCGUGAGUGAUGAAGGCCUUAGGGUUGUAAAGCUCUUUUGUCCGGGAAGAUAAUGACUGUACCGGAAGAAUAAGCCCCGGCUAACUUCGUGCCAGCAGCCGCGGUAAUACGAAGGGGGCUAGCGUUGCUCGGAAUCACUGGGCGUAAAGGGCGCGUAGGCGGACUCUUAAGUCGGGGGUGAAAGCCCAGGGCUCAACCCUGGAAUUGCCUUCGAUACUGAGAGUCUUGAGUUCGGAAGAGGUUGGUGGAACUGCGAGUGUAGAGGUGAAAUUCGUAGAUAUUCGCAAGAACACCGGUGGCGAAGGCGGCCAACUGGUCCGAUACUGACGCUGAGGCGCGAAAGCGUGGGAAGCAAACAGG